AAGGGCACCACAAGAACGCGUGGAGCAUGUGGCUUAAUUUGACCCAACGCGGGAAAUCUUACCGGGUCCGGACAUACUGAGGAUUGACAGGUUUUUGUAGAAUAGUAUUUAAUUCGAAUUUAUUCGUUUUUCUACUUUCUACAUUAAAGAUGCUAGUCCUUUCAUGAUUGUGUGAUAGGUGGUGCAUGGCCGUUCUUAGUUCGUGGAGUGAUCUGUCUGCUUAAUUGCGUUUCAUAUAAAAGGACUUAAUUAAUAUUGCCUUGUUUCCUACACUUUGUCCUGGUUAUUUGAUCGUCCGUGUGCUUGCAUUUGUUCUUAGCUCGUUUUGCAUAUGCUUUUUCUUUGCAUUUUUUUGGCAACUUGUUUUAUGAUUAGGUUGUUUGAAUUUCUUAAUUGAUUUUCACCCUCUUUGUAUUUCAUUUUGUUUGUAAACUUGUAUUUGUUUCUUGCAGCAAUUCUUGAUGUUUGAGGCAUUUGCGCUAAUCGGAUUUGUAUCUAUUUCCAUUCCAAAGGGACUUUGUGUUUAGGACAGGUGAUUUAUUUUAUAACAGUCCUGAAGGCAACGAACGUGACCG
rnacentral:rRNA from 1 species